GUUGUGUACAGUUAAAGUGUUAAAGUUUAGACUUUAUGAAAAUGUGUAAAAGUAGACUCCAAUGCACAGUAAAAAUGAUGGUGCUUUUCAAUUUGGAUGUUCAAGUCAUUCAAUUUAAUUAUAAACUUAACCAGAUAUUUCGUCCUGCAGGUUUCUCCGAUCCAGACGGAUUCGACGUGAUCUGUUCUAAAACAACAAGCCUUGACGUAGUGACCGUACCGUUCUCCCGGAUAGCACCUUCGGGCAGCAGGAGGAUGGAUGUAGCGGCCGUCAAAGCGCUAGGACCGAGACAAAAUGUAGGCGAGCUGGAAGCUAAGGUCCUGUCCCGUGCUGCACUUAGUAAAAUCGUCUUGGUUAACCGGGAGGAAUGUGAGCUGAAGGAGAUAUGGGUCGCUGACACUACGGGGGAAAUCAAGCUUACCUUGUGGGAUAGCCUAAUAUCCCAGGUCGACGUCUCCAAAUCCUACUGCUUUUCCAACCUGGCAACGAGAGAGAUGCAAGGGGUUAUUCGUUUAACCACAACUCCAUCUACUCGAGUCGUGGAGAUAACCCAACUGGACGUACCUGAUGAGGGCAGGGAUGAUCCCGAUGACGGCGCUGCUUCUACGACUUUGCGCGGUGUGGUCUCCGGGGUUCAAAUCCGAGCCAGACAUCGUUGUCCGAGGUGCCACGGUCUUCAAAAUCAAAUUUCUGCCAACUCCAUUACUCACAGGUGUGAUGCCUGCAACCUGCUGCAGCGGUCAUCGGUCUACGGCUUAACAUACAGAGGAACGAUAGUUCUCACCGCUGACCAGCAGGAACAUUCGCUGACGGUGACCGAUUCCUGCAUCAACGCUUACCUGGCCAGAUACCGCGUCGCCUAUUCAGAAAACGACGUGGAAACCAUUGAGGAGCAUUUCCUUAAUUUGCCAGAGGUAGAAAUCUGCGUUAAUAACGAUUCCUUAAUUACCUCGUUAAUUCAGCCCCUUUCACAAAAUCGUGUGGACCAAUCCUUGGUCGCUGCUAACGACGGCAACACAGUGACGGAUGGUGAAGCUGCGCAAGUUGUGGAAGAUUGGGAAGCUGCCGCUCUUGUUUAGCACGUUCAGCGAGGCAACUGGUAAUAUGCACAAAAAAUUACUGUUUCUAGUACAAAUUAUUUCAUAGUGCACUGUUAGUGUUAGUCUUUGUUCUCAGUAUUUGUUUUGUUUGAAACGCUACCGUACUGAUGUUAAUGGUUUUCAUUGAAUGUUCCAUGUGCCAAAGCUGUAUGUGAACUGCCAAUAAGUACUCAUUUAAAGUUUGUAAUAAAUGAGGUUUCAUCUAACGUUAUUUCUGUAUUCUGUGGAUUUAUACGUUUUCAGUUUAAUCUGACAGUUGUUUAUGAAUUGUAUAAAUAAAAUAUUAAUGGUAACUUUAAUAGGUAGAUAUAAUUUAAAUACAAAAUUAGUUAAGCGUUGCAGUAAGUUAAUAUUGUGAUUAUUUUUUCAAUCUAAAGUAUGGUACAGCGCUUAAAGUAGACGUAAUUUAAAAUAUAAAUUGAAAAUGAACUUGGUAUAUUAAAGUAUUAUUUUUUUUAAAAAAAGAAAUCAAGAUUGGCUACAUGGCUAGUAGUAGCAUGAAGGUGUAAGGCCUAUUGGGUUUAUGUGUAUACAGAUAUACAUUAUACUUAUUUUAUGUUUCAUGAACUAACUAAAACAUAGCGGAGGUUAAAAUAUUGAACGGUGUGGGUCUUACGCUGAACAUCUUGCACGCUUUCAGAUAUCUGCCGUUUCUAACAUUUGCAAUGUACUCUGCGACCUUUGCGACAGGUCAAAUUCAGCUUACGGCAGUUCAAUGACGUCAAAGCUGUAAUGUGAUUUGUUAUUAAUGCACAUGUGAUCCAAGUUGAUCAUGCAUUUCGGAACAUACCAUAAACCAGAAGUUGUUUACCCGAAUGCUUUUUAAGGUAGCAAUAUGUUCAUAUUUUGGGCUCUUGUCUGUAUGUAUGUUUUAUCAAUAAGGUGUGCACUGUAUUUGGUCAUCUGAUCAAACAGGGUUGCCAGAGAAAAGCUUUGACGCUGUGUCUCAGGCUUUGACGUUGCCCGUGUAAAUUUCACGCGAAAAUGGCAACUCUGCUUGUGAUACGAAACAAAGUGUAAGCUUUCAGUUUCUGUAAGUUUUAAUUCAAAUUUCAAACAAUAAAUAAGCAGUUGUAAGCAAUGUAAAUGACUGUAAAUUAACAUAAAAAGCUACUUUUAUGUCUUUCUCGUAAGGUCUUGCCAGAUAGCAAAGGCUAGUAUUAUUAAGCAAACUUAAAGAUGA
ensembl:lncRNA